GAGGAUAUAGCUCAGUGGUAGAGCACAUGCUUAGCAAGCACCAGGUCUGGGUUCAAUCCCCAGGACCUCCA
rnacentral:tRNA from 1 species